AUCCCUCUUUCUUUUGAUUAUUUUUUCAUGCUUUUCCACACACAAUUUAAUUAAGCAAUCCAAUAUCAAAUCACAAUAAUCCAUCGCAAACAUAGCAAGAUAUAUAAUCCGAAAUUGAGAAUAGAAUUCAUGGUUCAUGGGAUGGUUAAUAUGCAUAAACGCUUAUAGAACUUUGACAAAGAUAAAAUAUAGAAAAUUCAUGGGUGUCGAUUGCGUAAAUACUAUUCUAGAGCGAUCCCCUCCUUCGAGACACAGUUCAGGUUGAUAACAUGUUGAAGGAAAACAAUCCUUAUGCCAAUAAAUUAAGUUGAUGUUAUUAGUUAAGAAUUAUGUUGCCCACAAAUUUAUAAUUUAUGUUCAAGUGAUCGAAGUAGUAAAUAAGUAAAGCUAGUGAAAUACAUUGACUAUUUAGUACCAUAGUCGGAUAAUAGAAGGCCAUUUAUUAUAAGUGUUUGAUAUCAAUAAAAGGAUUGAUACUCAACUAGGUUUGUUGUGAAUUUAUGUCAAGUUAUUAAUUUAGACUUACGAGAGUUUCUUCCAACACUCUUCUAUAGAAAAACAAGCAAACCAAACCAACGAAAGUCGUAUGUAACAAGUUGAUGUUGUUUACUAUAUUUAAUCAAAUCUUAUUGGAUCUAAAACUUGUAUGCUUUUUUGCGAGUAUCACAAAUAGUUUGAGAACAUAGUGCGAGAAUCAAAGUUUUUUAUUGUGGUAACACCAACAUUUGUUUAAAAGAAAGUGAUUAUGGCACUUCGUUGGCUACUUGUGAGGGUGCAGAGAAGUCUUGAGCAAUGAACUUCAGUACUCCUUCUGGCGGGCACUUACACAUAGUGUUGAUGCAUGAGCAUUUGGCUGGGUCAGGACAUUCAGCAGAUGUUUUGCAGGGAAACCUCACUAUUGGACCCCUCGCUUCUACUCCAAUUUGUAGACCUGCAAUAUCAUUAUUUCCUUAAGUAAUAUUGAAAUUGCAUUUUCUACUUAAAUACUAAUUCAUGUAGAACUUGAGGGUUUUUUUUCUCCGAUCAAUUCAACUUGAGAGUUAAGAAAGCAAAAUACAUAAACAUGUAUAUCUCGUCUAUGUAGGGAUCAUAUAGUAAAAAGUAUUAGAGACAAGUAUUUUACCAUAUGCAACAAUCAACAGCACAACAAAGAAGGCUAACUUGAGUGAACCUUUCUCCAUGUCUCUUUGUUGAUAGAUAGAGGCAAAAAAUUAUGAUGAUUGUUGAAUUGUAUUCUUCUUAAACUUAAUUUUGAGCUACUAGUGUGCUCCAAAGCUACAAUUAUAUAGUUGAAGUUGGGAUUAUUUUCUAUAAUUGUACAUCUAUCUCGAUAAAAAAAAUAUUUCUUUAACAAAUUGGUUGCUGCAUAAAUUUGUAAAGAAAUCUGUUCACCAAAACUUUAUAGUAAAAAUGUUUGAUAAAAUCAGAUUGCAAACCAUAGUAGUUCAUUUUCAUGCAUGAAAUAAUUAUGUCUAAAGUUAGUUAGAUUCGCAUUGAAGCUAUGUGAUUCUCAAGUAACUAGUGCUCUUUAAACUAAAGAUUUUAUAUAGCUAUAUUUUGGAUUACUUUCUUAAAAUACAUGCCUAGAUAUAGUGAAAUUCAAUUUUGGAUUACAUUCUUGUUUAGACUUGAAAUAAUAGUUUGGGUCGAGAAUGGGCUAAAUUAAGUUUAAAAGUUAUGAUUCUCGACCUAGUAAUGAUCCCUCAGGCUAGUGGGCUUUCAACCCAAAAGAGAGUAUUGAUUCGGCCAAGUCUUUGUAGGAAUAUGACUAUUAAUGGAUCAAGCUCUUGUGUGGCUUGGUCGAGUGUUAAGAGAGUUAAAAUGACCAAAGAUUAAGCUGAAUUCUGAUAAGAUGCGAAUCAUUUUAGGGAUCAAAAUUCAUGCUUGAUUAGUUCAGAGUUCUGGUUCAAAUAAAAAAGUUGAAUCCACUUUUAUAAUAAUUUUUUAGUAAAAAAAAUUAAAUUUAAAGGGAGUAAAGUCAAAAUUUUAGUAAAUUUUAUAAUAGUUUUUUUAAAUACCUUGCGCGACGAAUGUAAUUGUUGUGUAAAAGCACUUUGCACGACAUCGACGUCAAAAUGUAUCCCUGCGCUGCGAUGCGCCGUGCUAUUUGUGAUAAUUUUGACGGUGAAGUUGUAAAAAAUAGGCGCUUCUUUUAAAAUUUUCCUAAGUUUGGACAAAAUUUUCCCAGACCCGAACGCUCUCUCACUCGGUCUCUCUCUUCCCAAGUUUGGACAAAAUUUUCUUUUCCCGUUGCCUUCCUCCUCAUCUUCUUUCCAUCGCUCCCGACUGCACCCAGCCAGCAGGUAUUGACCCAGGUAUCUAUAUUUUCUUAAUUCUUAAUUUUUCUUCUUUCUAAGGUCAGAAUCAAGCUUUAAUGCCUUAAUUUGAAGAUUUUGGUAUUGUAAUUAGAUUCAAUUUGGAAAAUUAAAUUAGAAAUUGGGGAUUUUAGUGUUAAAUCGAAUUUUAGGGUUUGAGUGUUAAAUCGAAUAUUAAGAUGUUGAUGGUGUUGUGCGUUGUGAGUGUGAAUGAAAAACCAAGUAAACUUUGAUAAAUUUGACAUCAUGAAUCUCUGGGUGUGACAAGCAUUUGGAAGAAUUUCCGUGUAUCGGAUAUCGUCUCUGUGUAUGGUUUUUUCCCCCCACCUCUUUAGGGUGGUGGGUUGGUAUGCCAGGUAUGUCUGAUUUAUUUUUCUGUUCAUACAAAUUUGCUGCAGUUGAAAGUUAUUGGUCUUUGUCUUACUAAAAAUUGAAAAUUCCUUAGGUUGCUCUGACAUGCAUGGCAAAGUUAAGAGAUGACAGAUUUUUAUUUACUGGUGGUCUUAGUUCUGAUAGUUUGGCAUGUCUUGACAUUAUCAUGGCAAAACAAUUACCAAAUGGAGCUUGUCACUCAAUCCUGUUUAAAGCUUACGCUGGCAAUUCUUAGACAAGAAUCAUCAGAAGCCUUAAGGAGACGGUAUGCUUGUUCAAGAUGUCCCGUCAACCGUUCUGCAAUUCUUGCUGCUUGAUGAGCAAGAUGGUGAUGAUAUGGAUCUCCAGAAGGUGUCUAGUUUCUAUGAUUACAAGGCAAUUUGCACUAAAUAUCAUCUGGUGGAAAGGAUAGCUUACCAGGUAAUAAAGGAUGCUACUGAAGGCAGUGAACUUGGGAAACAAAUGGCACUCUAUGUUUUGGAUGCAUUGUUUUGUGUAGAUCAUGAAAAAUAUUUCUUAAGCCAGCUUCAAAGCAGGGGUUUCUUAAGGUCUUGCUUAACAAGCAUCAGCAAUUCUCAUCAGGUUCUUGUUUAACCAACUAUAAAGUCCAAUGCAAUCCUAUUUUGGUGAUACCAACACCAUCAGCACUCUUACGAGUCUUUGCCUUUACAAUUGUUUGAGGACCAACCAAAGAGUGAGUCGUCUUCCAACUUGGGACCCUUGAGAUGUAACCUCACUCCCCUCUCAUUCAUCACUCCUCUCAAAGACAGAAUAUUCUGUACUCCAACUAUUUUCUCACUUCUUCAAUAAUAGUAACAUCCAACGCUUCAUUAGUUGUGUGUGAACCACCUCUGUCAUCAGUUAUAGCACACAAGCUCUGGAUUGAACAACCCGAAAACUUCCCAACUUGUCUCGCCAUAAAGCCGUACCUGAAAUCCGUGGUAUCCGCAUAUUUUAGAAAGUUGAAACUCUAAGGUCGGAUAACAAUGCCGAAGCUUCUAGAGAGGAUUUGGUGGAAAUUGAAACCAGUUCUACUGCAGGACUCUGGUGAAGCUUCUAUUCAAAAUUUGUCUAAAGAAUGGGCCUGUUUUUAAGAGAUCCCUGAUGCAGAGGUUUCCAGUUUCCAAAACAGUUUUGACUUAUUCAAGAUGUCCGACAUGAUGAAAGGCAGGAAACACAUGAGAAAUCUUCGACAAGUAUGCAUUUGGAGGAACUGGAAGAUCCAGAAAAAUUUGCAGAAGAGGGGGGCAAGGUCAUCACGGGCCAAGAAUAUGUUUCUCGGUUGCAUGAACUUAAAGCUGAAUUAACUCAUGCAUGGCAUGUCGAUGAUCGUGUUACAUCUCUGAAAUUAUCAAUAGAAGUACAUUUUAAUUGAUAAUUCAGUUUACCCAAUUAAUCUUUACCUGGAGAGAAUUUGUAAUAGAAGACAACAUUAAGCAUCAAACCUAGAAGACUACUUCUUAUAGGUUUAUUUUUUUUAUUUUUUAUUUUUUAUGUUUGGACAUCUUGUAUGUACAUUUUCAUAUAUUUUAUAAUUAAAUACUUUUUCUUGGUUUAUUAA